rnacentral:rRNA from 1 species
UACGUAGGGGGCAAGCGUUAUCCGGAAUUACUGGGCGUAAAGCGCACGCAGCGGUCGCCAAGUUUGGAGUGACAGUUGUCGGCUCAACCGACAAAGGACUUCAAAAACUGGUGAACUUGAGGACGAGAGAGGAACAUGGAACUCCAGGUGUAGUAGUGAAAUGCGUAGAUAUCUGGAAGAACACCAAUGGCGAAGGCAAUGUUCUGGCUCGUUUCUGACGCUCAGGUGCGAAAGCCAGGGGAGCGAACGGG